GUUGAACGCUGGCGGCAUGCCUUACACAUGCAAGUCGAACGGCAGCAUAGGAGCUUGCUCCUGAUGGCGAGUGGCGAACGGGUGAGUAAUAUAUCGGAACGUGCCCUAGCGUGGGGGAUAACUAGUCGAAAGACUAGCUAAUACCGCAUACGAUCUACGGAUGAAAGUGGGGGAUCGCAAGACCUCAUGCUCCUGGAGCGGCCGAUAUCUGAUUAGCUAGUUGGUGGGGUAAAAGCCUACCAAGGCAUCGAUCAGUAGCUGGUCUGAGAGGACGACCAGCCACACUGGGACUGAGACACGGCCCAGACUCCUACGGGAGGCAGCAGUGGGGAAUUUUGGACAAUGGGGGCAACCCUGAUCCAGCAAUGCCGCGUGAGUGAAGAAGGCCUUCGGGUUGUAAAGCUCUUUUGUCAGGGAAGAAACGGUAGUAGCGAAUAACUACUACUAAUGACGGUACCUGAAGAAUAAGCACCGGCUAACUACGUGCCAGCCGCCGCGGUAAGAC
rnacentral:rRNA from 1 species